AAUGAAUUUGAUGAUAUACAUGAAUUGUGUUGGAGCAAAUCAAGUUUCAACGUAGAGGAAAUGGGUUUAUCUUACAACAGUAGUGUUGUGUUCAUAGUUUGCUAUUUGCAUGCUAUUAAGACUAAAGCUUGAGUUUGCCUUUUCCACAUCUUCAUGUUAAUUUGUGUGAGGAACAAGAGAAAUGGGUAGAAUAAAAUGCCCAUGUAAUUUUGGUAUUAUACUUUUGAGAUCACUUCGGGGUGGUGAGUAAUUCACAUCAUUUUUAUACCAGUGAGAAUUAUAUUAUUCUAAGUUACUAGAGAAAAUUUGUGUAGCAUCCUUCCUGAAUUUAGGAAACUUUGAACAAUAAAAUAAUUAACUUGAGGAAUAUUUUCAGAAUCAUCCUCAAUUUAUUACAGUAAUUGGAUUGGCUUAACUGUAGUAACACUUGCCAUGUUAGAUGCUUUUGUUGGUUAGCAUGGACAGUAAAAGCCAUUAUUAUGAUUCCUUGGUGGUGAGAAAUAUAUGAAGUAGUCCAAGGAGUAAGAUAUUAAUAUCGCCAUUGUCUGAGGAUUCUGAAAACUUAAACUUUAAGGUUAUGUCUCUCCCCACCCUGAAUAAGCACAUUCUACCAGGAAAAGGCAAUGAAAAACAAAAUUUCUUCUCGGUCUUAAAAAGUUUUUAGUGACUCGUGUAAUGUUUGCAUAUGAUGGAUUGAGUUUUAUGCACACAGGUGGACUGGGUGGUUAUGGAUCAGGAGACAGUGAAGAUGAGAGGAGUGACAGAGGUUCUGAGUCAUCUGAUACUGAUGAUGAAGAAUUACGGCACCGAAUCCGGCAAAAACAAGAAGCUUUUUGGAGAAAAGAGAAAGAGCAGCAGCUAUUACAAGAUAAACAGAUGGAAGAAGAAAAGCAACAAACAGAAAGGGUUACAAAAGAGAUGAAUGAAUUUAUUCACAGAGAGCAAAAUAGUUUAUCACUUCUAGAAGCAAGUGAAGCAGACGGUGAUACGGUUAAUGAAAAGAAAAGAACUCCAAAUGAAGCUCCGUCAGUUUUAGAGCCCAAAAGAGAGCACAAAGGGAAAGAGAAGGAGCGGAGGAGUAGGUCAGGCAGCAGCAGUAGCGGCAGCUCCAGUAGCAACAGCAGGAGCAGCAGCAGUAGCAGCUCCGUGUCCAGUUCUUCCUACAGCUCCAGCUCAGGCAGCAGCUGCACGUCCUCUCGCUCCUCCUCUCCUAAAAGGAAAAAGAGACACAGUAGGAGCAGGUCUCCCACAGUGAAAGCUAGACGGAGCAGGAGCAGGAGCUACUCUCGCAGAAUUAAAAUAGACAGCAGCAGGACUAGGGUGAAGCUGAGAGAUAGGAGGAGAUCUAAUAGAAGUAGCAUUGAAAGAGAAAGACGAAGAAACCGGAGCCCUUCCCGAGACAGACGUAGAAGCAGAAGUCGCUCAAGGGAUAGACGAACCAAUCGUUCCAGUCGCAGUAGAAGUCGAGAUAGGCGUAAAAUUGAGGAUCCACGUGGAAAUCUUAGUGGGAACAGUCAUAAGCAUAAAGGUGAGGCUAAAGAACAAGACAGGAAAAAGGAGAGGAGUCGAAGUGUAGAUAAGGACAGGAGAAAGAAAGACAAGGAAAGGGACCGUGAACAGGAUAAAAGAAAAGAAAAACAGAAAAGGGAAGAAAAAGAUUUUAAAUUCAGUAGUCAGGAUGAUCGGUUAAAACGGAAGCGAGAAAGUGAGAGAACUUUCUGUAGGAGUGGUUCUAUAUCUGUUAAAGUCAUAAGACACGACUCUAGACAGGAUAGUAAGAAAAAUGCAACCAAAGAUAGUAAAAAGCAUUCAGGUUCUGAUUCUAGUGGAAGGAGCAGUUCUGAAUCCCCCGGAAGUAGCAAAGAAAAGAAGGCUAAGAAGCCUAAACAUAGUCGGUCGCGCUCCAUGGAGAAAUCUCAAAGGUCUGGUAAGAAGGCAAGCCGCAAACACAAGUCUAAGUCCCGAUCAAGGUACCCCGUCGUAAGCGCUGAGGAAUGACGUGGCAAGAAUGCCAUGAUGCCAUUUUUAAAAAUUCCAUGAGUUUAAGGGCUUGUCUCAUUAUAGAGGCACAUUGUGGCUGUGUAGGUGAACCCAGAUUUUUUUUUUCUAAUUGUGUAAAUAGGUGUCUUUUUCCAAAUGCUGCUCCAAGUUACUUAAUAGGAUUUCUUUGUAUUACAUUUUUUUCAAGAAAUAGUACUUAAUAAGACUAUAAAUAUGCCAUUCUCUUUCAGCUGUAAUGUUCUCAAAAUUAUUCUUGAAUGUACUGUGAUGUCAAUAAAGCUCUUUAGUUCAUUUUUGUU
rnacentral:lncRNA from 1 species